UACGUAGGGUGCGAGCGUUAAUCGGAAUUACUGGGCGUAAAGCGUGCGCAGGCGGUGAUGUAAGACCGAUGUGAAAUCCCCGGGCUUAACCUGGGAACUGCAUUGGUGACUGCAUUGCUCGAGUAUGGCAGAGGGGGGGUGGAAUUCCACGUGUAGCAGUGAAAUGCGUAGAGAUGUGGAGGAACACCGAUGGCGAAGGCAGCCCCCCUGGGCCAAUACCUGGACGCUC
rnacentral:rRNA from 1 species